rnacentral:rRNA from 1 species
AUACGGAGGGUCCAAGCGUUAUCCGGAAUCAUUGGGUUUAAAGGGUCCGUAGGCGGAUAAUUAAGUCAGAGGUGAAAUCCCACAGCUCAACUGUGGAACUGCCUUUGAUACUGGUUAUCUUGAAUUAUAGUGAAGUAGAUAGAAUAUGUAGUGUAGCGGUGAAAUGCAUAGAUAUUACAUAGAAUACCGAUUGCGAAGGCAGUCUACUAACUAUAUAUUGACGCUGAUGGACGAAAGCGUGGGGAGCGAACAGAAUUAGAAACCCUAGUAGUCC